rnacentral:lncRNA from 1 species
GGUCAUGUAUGCUUAUAGGAAUUCUAUACAUAGUCCAAAGUAUAUUGUUUUGGUGAUUGGAUGUCCACUGAAUAUUAUAGACUUAAAUCUGAUUGGAAAAAUCAAAUCUAGACAUGCACAAUUCAAUUCAGCACACACAUAUACAGAUGCAUUCAUAUGGACACACUUGCGUACAUACAACCCACAUAUUCAUAUUUGAACAUGGUCUUAAUUUGAUAUGAACAAUCCAAAUUGGGCAGCUCUGUUCCAUAUGCAAAUCCAGUACAUCUCCA